AUUCCUUAUUUAAAAUAAAAAACAGAAGCACUUUAAUGUUCAAAAUUCAAUCCAGUGUAACUUUAAAGUCUUUACAAUUUUAGAAAUCCCAUGACAAUAAAACAAUGAUUGUGAAUCCACGAAAUACAUACUUACUUUUAAAGCAUCAAUUAAUUGCACUUUCUUAGCCAAAAGCAACUGGUAUUCCAGCUUUGGGUGGAUUAGCUUUAAAGUGUGUUUGACUGAUACUUCAUUUAUCUCUAGAAGAAGUCGAUCCAGACACAAUUAGCUCAACAAAGUGCUAUUAUUUCCGACCCCCAAAAAAGAAAACUGAAGCUCAGAGAGUUAAAUAAUCCAGAACAACCGUUCCAGACCUUAUUUUCCCUAACUUCUCUCCAGGAGCCACACUUAGUUCUGGGACUGCUAGUGUGUGCUAGUACUGAACAGAAAGAAGUGAUAUAUUAAGCAUAUCCAAAAGCUCUGAUACAAUCUCAUCCAAGAUACUUUACACAUGGUAAGUACCCACCAAAUGUCUGCUAAAUAAAGGUUAAGCAAGAUUCAACAAGCCCAGAAAUGGUGAAAAAGAACAAGCAGAAGGAACAGACCAUGUUCAAAUGUAGGAAUGUGUGAAACUAUAUAGCAUUUUCAAGAAAUUUUAAGAACUUCAGUUUGGCAGCAAUAAUGUGCAUGGGAGGGAAGGUAGCAGCUGGUAAGAGAUCAGCUAGAGAUGUAAUCAAGAGCUGAAUCAUGGAAAGCUGUUAUGCCACAAUGAGGAAUCUGACUUAUAUGCAGCAGGAAAUAAGGAAUCUUUAAAGGUUUUGAAAAAAGAAAUGACAUGGUGAUAUUUACAUUUUAGGAAGACCUCUCUGGUGGCGGUGUACGGCAGAGCCUGGAGGUGAGAGGCAAUACUGGAGAUAGAAAAACUGAUAGAUGAGUAGUUCAAACAAACAUGGUAAGGGCCUGAAAAGUUAACAGAAGUGGAAAUGAAGCAGAGUAGAGACAUAGGAGCCAAGGACAUAGACUGGCAAAAAAUAGUGACUAACUGGAUUUAACAGAUCAGAGAAAGGAAGGAAUCUAGGACAACACCCAGUUUUCUGGAUUAUCUGAAAAUAGGGGAAAUGAGCUGAAACAGAUUUUGAGGGAAAGGUUAUGAAAAACAGAUUGAAGAAACAUUAAACCUUAGUAGCAUUUAUUAGGCUUUAUUCAAAAUGGUAUAAUAGAAAUGAAAAAGUGUCUGAAAAAUUCUUGAUACUUUUUACUCACCUCAGAAUCACAGCUGCUAAAGCUGACAACAGCAGAAUUUUUAUCCACAUCAAGUAAAUCUAUUGGAACAUCACUCUACAGUCAAUAUUAAAAAAAAAAAAAUGGUUCAGAUGGAAAGCUAAAAAAUUUACAAAACAUUAUUUUCUCUUAGGGUUCUCUUUAGUUCUAGUUCAUGUUCAUCUUUAAAUUUGAGCAUAUGAAUUCUCUUAAUUUACAUUUGAUAAUGUACUUCUAGAAAAUAAAUGCAAUAAAAAAUAAAUGUUAUAUCACAAUGUUUAUUUUUUUCUAAUUUGGACUAUUAGAGAUCAUAAACGAUCAUCUCUCACCACCCCCUUAAAAGUAUAAUCUUUCUACCUAUUUUUGUCAAUGCUAAAAAUGUUACCAGAGUCUAAAAAUAAUAAUAUGGCCAUUCUGAUUCUAUCAGUUCAUUUUUAUUAAUUUAUUUUUUACCUGCAUCACAAAAAUGAGAUAAUUUUUGGUCUCCUCUAGAGAGGUAGUUCCUAGGGCACUGUUGUUGCACUCAGUUCUAUCUAAAUGGUGCUCCUAGAGUUGUGUAAUGCAGCCCUUAUGCUAGCAUUACCUACGACAGAUUUCAGCCUUUAAAUUUUAAUUAAUAAUCUGAUCUCUCCCCCACAUCUUUUUAAACCUUAUCUUCUUUCUCCACUUUAUUCUCUUCUCAUCUUCUUAUGGGUUUUCCAUCUUUUGCUUGUUUUCCAUUCAUCCUACUACCAUCCUUUCCCACUCCCUGAAUAUCUUACAAUUUAAAGAAAAACUGAUUAAAUAUAUUAUUGAAUGGAGUUGUGUAUUAUUACCCCUAUAUUUCACCUUUUGGGAAUAUCUACUUUGUCUACGGACCUACCCAGAAACUGGUGGUUAAUGAGCAAGCUGUACUGUAAGCUACCAUUUUAGAAUUGAGAGCUUAAAAAAAAGGUUCUAAUAAGGGCAUUAAAUACUGCAGUUUUCUAAAUCGCAUCUCUUAAAAUUCUCUUAAGAUCGCCAAAGAACAAAACCCUUACUGUUCUUUUUGAUGCUUCUUAAAACUUAAGUCCAUCAAUCUUUCGUUUAAUACUUACAGGAUAAAUAAAAAGUAAAAAUAUAACUUAGAUAAUCUAUGAGCAAACUGAUUAUCUAAUAGAAGAUUAGAUAAACCUUUAAAAUUACUAUCUAAGCUAAAUGCAAUUUAAAAGAAAAACACUUAAAAUUACUGUCUAAAAUUAAGUGUUCAAUAAUAGUUAGUGCAUACGGCUGGUCUGCAAAAUAGAUCCAAUCACAAAACAAAGAAAUUAGACACUGGCUUACCUGUAUUAAGACAUUAUCUAUUGCUGUCUGCACCUCUAAGAUGAGGCUGUAGCUAGCAUCAUCUUUAUUUAAUGUAAACUUGUCAUUUACACUAAAUGAAGGUACUGCUGAUUUUGCUUUGCUUGAUUGGGAAGACUGUUGAUAUUUCUCUCUUUCCUGUAGUACCUUAUACUGCAGAUGUUCCAGCUCACUCCUAGAGAAAAUAUAUACAACUGUCACCUAUAAGUAUAAACAUUUGAAGUCCUUAGAAUGAUUACAAGAAUUUGAGACAUUUACUUGUGCAAAACGGAUUUUUAUUAGUUGAACUAGAACUAUGACACUAAUACAAAGUUUUGUUUCUAUGACUAACCAAACAAUUCCACAUUAUUUAUCUCUAAUCUAAAAAUUAAAACUCAGUCCCAUACCAGCAAUAUUAAUAAAGAGUUGUAACUAUCAAGGCAAGCUGAAAAUAAUCAGUUCUAACACACAAAUCUAGUUAUAGUUAAUCAGAAGAGAAACUAAUUGUACUGGAGCAGAGAAAUAUGUUAGACUUAAUUUGAAGAAACAAAAUGUGUAAAACCCAUAAAUAUGUGCCUUUCAGUAAAAAUUAGGUGAAACAGACAAAAUAAGAAGGAGGCUGUGGAGUACUAACAUUUUGGGGACCAUAAGAUGAUCAUGAGCCAGUGGUACAGCUGAGUUUCUUCUAUCGAGUGUUUAAAAGGAUUCUGCUUACCUUCAACUGUACAGACAUUGCUUCAUUGCUUAGAGUCACUUCAGUUAAAGGGAAACAACAUAUGCAAAUGUAGCAACUAGUAACUGAGAAACAACAACAUGAGGCUUAGCCAGCCCCAAUUUAGGGGAAAAAAUCUGGGUAAGAGCUUGGAAGGGAUUUGUGCGAUAAACAAAACAAAGGAAAAGAUUCAUUCGUACAAGAAAUAUUUACUUAGAGCCUCAUAUGUACCUAUGUUGCAGGUGCUGAAUGAACAAAACAGACAUAAGCUUCUCAUGAGCUUACAUUCCACUGGAAUCAGGAGGGACAGACUCGGUUAUAAAUCCUCAAUCCAUCCUGCAUAAGGCAGGAUGGGAAACCCUGGACUAGAGAACACCACUUCAUGAAAACGAAAGAUUCAUUUUACAGCAGACUGAUUCUCCAUGUAACUCCGUACCUUGGCAUAAACAAGCUUAACUACAUUAAAAUCCGUGAACUAAAAUUACUCAUAUUUAGUAAUUCUUCUCAUUUGGUAAAGUCUUGGGUGGUUAGAAGUGAAAUUGCGACUUUUCUCUCUGCUCAAGGAUAUUUUGAUAUUGUUCUAACAACAUGAGUUUAUUCCUAAAACAUUAUUACUUUAAAACAACAGUCUUGUUUGUUACCCAAACAUAUAAAUGUUACUCCUGUAAUCCACUAUGUAUUGUAGAAACUAAGGCAAAAUAAUUAAAGUUCAGGUAUACAGUAUUUAGAAACCAAAUGAAGAAGCAAUUUAUUAUUUAUCUGGAAGGCAAUAGUCUAUUAUUCAAACAUAAGGGCAGUCUAGAGAAGAUUUUGAUAACAUCAAAGCAGCAAUAUUCUAAGCCAAACACAAGAUUUUAAUAUAUUUAAUUUAAUAAAACCCAAAACAUCACAAUCAUCUCUAUAAUUAUUUGAUGAAUAUAAGCAUAUAUAGUCUUUUUAAAUGAACUGACCUGAUCAAAUCGUAGAACAGGCUCAUUUGUAUUGUCAAAACUAUACACUUGUACCACUCCAUCAUCUCUCCCAACAAGUAAAUCUUUAACCCCAUCACCCACAAUGUCAAAGCUGUCAACACACAAAAUACCUUUAAAAAAGAGGAUAGAGGUGACAAGUUAUUAAUAAAACUAAUAUUAGGGCCAAGUACAGACAAAGUAAGGCUGAAAACAUGUAUAUACUGAAUCAGAAUGGGAAAACAAAUAACAGAAAACUUGAAGCAUAAUCAGGUAUCCCCUUUUCUGCCCACAUUCAGCCAUUUCCAAGACUUUAAAUAUAAUCUAAAUGGAAAUGGCUCAUAAGUUUUUAUCUCUAGCUCUGGCCUCUCCCCAGAGCUCCAGACUUCUACAUCCAAGAUCCUAUACAGCAUCUUCUUUGAGACGUCCAUUUGCAUCUCAAACGUCCUAUGCCCCAAAGAAAAUUCUUCAUUCCCCUUUAGCGCACCCCAUCAAUGGUCCUUCCCCAAACUCUCCUCAUCUCAGUAAGGUAUCACCCAGUUGUUCAGGCCAAAAAUCUAGACUACAUCUCUGAUUCCUGUCUUUUUUCUCACUGCCCAGACCAAAUCCCUUAGCAAAUCUUAACAGCUCUAUCUCCAAAAUAUAUACUGAAAUUGAGUCCUUCCCAUUUCCAACUACCAUUAGCCUAGCUCAGGCCACUUAUCUGUAGUCUAGACUAAAAUAAAUUAUAACAACUAUAACAAUGACUUCCUAACUGAUCGCCACACUUUCAAUUUUGAGCUGCUUCCCCCAGAUCCAUUCUCCCUGGUAUGUUUUUUGUUUUGUUUUGUUAGAUUAGAUCAUAUCAUACUCCCACUUAAAAUUCUCCAAAGACUUCCCACUGCACAUAGAUAAAAAUUCAAUCCUUUUCCAAGGUCCACAAGGACCUACAUGAUUUGGCCCUAUGCUAAGUCUCUGUCUUGUCUUGUCAUGCUAAUGCAUUUAGCCACACUGACCUUCCCUUUGCUCCUCAAAUGAAUCAAGUUUACUUAUGCCUCAAGUCUUCAGCCCUGAUUUUUUCCUCUUUCUGGAGCACAAUUUUCCCCCCAAUUUUUACAUUACUAACUCCUUUUCUUAUGAAUCAGAUCUCGGCUCAAAUUUCACCUUUUAUAAGACACCUUCCAUUACCACCCAGUCUAAAUUUAGUUUUCUUCCUUCCACCUAUCACUAAUGCAUCACUGUCUGAUAUUUUUUUCAGAUGACUUAGAUGAAGUUAUCUAUUUAUUCAUUUGUUUAUUCUCUGUCUCCCCUAACAAGUAUUUGUUGAAGGAAUAAAUGAAUACAUGAAUAGAAUUACUAUACCUAUAAAUAGCCAUCUUACUACUUUCUAAGUCAGAUAUAAAUUUCCUCAGAAAGGUAUAAAUCCUUUAGAAAACCGGAAUAUUCCCUGACUCACUAUACUUCUUCCUUGCUUAAUAUCAAAUAUUCCUAAAUUCCAAUUAAUUUCCUACACCAAACAGUGAAUAAUGGAUUUGAUACUAUGGAUGGACAUUAGCCCACAAAAGCCUACCUAUCCUAAAUUACUAUUAACAUUUCUUAAUUAAAAAAUGAUGCCAAAGUAUGACAGACCUGCUAAAUAAACAAAGAGUAAAUAAAUCUGAGGUGGCUCUGUAAAUUGUUAAGCUUACCAAAUACUGUGAAUAAAUAAAACAGAAUGAACUAUAUAAAAUUUAGGAUAUUUAAUAAUGAAUGACAUUUCAGAAUCUAAACUACAUCAAAAACAUACCUCCCAGCUUUUUCUCAUUUCGAAUUUCCCACUUGUGUAUCGGUUUGGAGGUAGUGAUCUGAAUAAGCCCAAGUUUUCCAUCUGAUGUUCCAAACAAAAGGUCUUCUCCAGAGUUACCUAGUUUAUAAUUAAAGUUAACAUGUUAGGGGCACCUGGGUGGCUCAGUCGAUUAAGUGUCCGACUUCAGCUCAGGUCAUGAUCUCAUGGUUGGUGGGUUCGAGCCCUGCGUCAGACUCUGUGCCGACAGCUCAGAGCCUGGAGCUUGCUUCAGAUUUUGUGUCUCUCUCUCACUCUGUCCCUACCCCACUCAUGCUCUGUUUCUGUCUCAAAAAUAAAUAAACAUAAAAAAAAAUUUUUUUUAAGUCAACAUGUUAUACUUAUCUCAUGACUCAUAAGAUCUCCUUAAAACUGAAAAAAUUUUCAUAUACAUGGACUUUAAUGUAAAAAUAUCAUUUAAAAAAUAUAAAAAGACAGAAAACUUAAUUUUGGAGGAUGGUUAUAUAGUCACAGAAUUUUAUAAACUAAGAGAUAAUACCCUUCCUCAUCAUCUAAUUUUAAGAUGAGGACACUGAAAAUUAAAGUUCAACAAUUCAUUAUUGUUAGUUACUGGCAAGUUAUCAGACUACUGUCUCAAUUCCAGUUCAUUAACAUAUAGUUACAUUAUUAAAAACUUAACAUACAGUUAAAUGAUUAACUAUACUUAAUAUAUAGUUAAAUGAUUAAAAACCUGAAAUAUCUAGACUUAAAUAACAUAACACACUUCCUUAUUUUAUUGUGAUUACCGCCAUUUCCAUUGUGUAGUGCUAAAACAGUAGGUGGGCCAGGAACUUCAGUUUCAUACAUCACAUCAGAUCCCUGAAGAAGAACAAGUAUUUUAAAACUGAAACAGAACAUAAAUUUAGUAGACAUACUCCUUGAUAACAUCAGUAUUCAUAUAAAGAAAAACUCUAGAAUAAAACUGCUGAAAAAAGUUAGACUGUGAUUAUUAACUUGCAUUUCUUUAGCAAUUUUGUAUAUGUUAGCUCAUUUUAAAAUAUAUAAUAUUUAAAGAUCACGAAGAAAUAUUUAAAAUACUCAACACUUAGAAAAGUUUUCAGUUUAAAUACUUUGUUUGCCCAAAAACUUGACACUGGUAAAUUUUCCUAUCAAAGCUUUCCAGGAAUAAGUUGUUUGUUCUGUUUUCUUUAACUCAGAGCACAAAUAUUUAAACAGACCCAAAGUUACUUCCUAAGAAAAAGACAAGCCCAGGGGCUCAAUUUUGCUUCCUGAAAAAUGUGAAUGAAGUUUGCCACCCUAGUCCCGGAGUGGUAGCAGACAUGUGUCACCUAAGGCAGAAAAUGGCCCCUACCUAACCCUCAACCUGAUUCUCAUCGUCAACCUUAAGAGGUCGUCCAGGUUCUCAGGAUGGUAACUGACACAAGAAGGUUAUGCAGAUUUUUUUUUCAACAGGACUUCUCACUCUUUAAUGUGCCAUUACACUUUUUGAUACUCCAAGAAGGUAGGUGGUGAGUAUCACCAGAACAGCAAUAUCCAACAUCUAGGGUGUUAUCUCUUAGGGUAGCACAUUGAAUGUAUUGUUUCAUUUAGUUGGAUAAUACCAGCAGGUGGGUUCUCAGUGUUUUCAUUGUACAGAAGAAGAGACUGAAGUUGGGAGCAGUUAACUUGACAUAGUCACAUGGCCAAUAAGUAUUUGGGUACUUCCAAAACCUAUUCCAGUGAGAGGCAGAAUGACUGUUAUUUAGAUAAGAAAAUAAGUUACGUCCAUUUAUUUGUCUUUUUUAAAAUUUUGCCACUUCUUAUGUUUUCAUUUAGUACACAGUAUUUUGUGAAGCUAUCAAAGAAUAGAGUACUUAUAAGUAUCUACACUUACAUGGAAAAAACAACUAUGAUAAAUCAUUCAACGAAAAAAGGUGAAAUUAUAGUAAAUAUGUAAUGACCUUUUUGUUAAAUUAAAUAUAUAUAUAGAAUAUAUAAAAGUCAUGUGCUUUAUCUUUUAUUUAUAAUUACAUUUGAAAUUUCAUAUAUAUCAACUAUAUAAACACAAAAUCCACAAGAAAAGGCUACUUCUGGGGCAAUGGAUAAUGAGCAGUAAAGGGGAGGAAGGACGUAUGAAGGGCAGAGCAAAGGCUUCAAGCUGUAACUUCCCACAAAUCCUUACUGAAUUCUUUAUUUUUACAGCAAGUGCAUGGAUCUCUUCUAGUUAAACAAAGCAGAAUCCUAGAAUAAGCUGGAACAAUUUCUAACUGAAUUCUAGCCAGCUCCUGUUUAAAAGCCUUAUUCAAACAAUUCAUAUUUGGGAGUACAGGCUAUGGAAGAAAUUAAUUAUUCAUCUCUCUAGAAUGAAUCUUGAACAUUACUUUAUCUUCCCUUGGCAGGGGGGUGGGGGGGGGGCAGGGAGAACCUCAUAGAACCAUUGGAUUUUUCCUUCUAUAAAAGGACUAAUACCAAGAAAUGGCCAUCUGACUAUGAAAUUCCAAAGAAUGAGAUAGCCUGUGAUGGCACAGAAUAAACAGCAAGAUUUUUUAUUCAACUGCACUAUCAUUAGCCCAAGUUUCUGAUCCAAAUAAUCCACCUGUUCUAUGUUAUUUGCAUUAAACUUUAUUUUAUGGAUCCUGGUGUUUGUAUGUAUGUGUAUUUUAUUGAAAGUCACUUUUGAAGAGACAUAGGUGUAACUAUUAUACUAAUAACAAUACCUUAUGCAUCAUGGUUUUUAAUAGAAAUAUAAGGACAAUAAAAUGAUUUUUCCCUCUAUCAUUCAUUUAUUCAUCCAACAAGUAUUUACUGAGUGCUUAUUUUGUUGCACAUACUGUCAUAAAUAUGGAAUAAACUCAAAUGAUACAUCCUUUGAUCUCAACUAUUCCUUCUUUGUUAAAGCCUAACAUCCGCUCCCCAACCCAAUUUCCUCCAUUUAUUUGAUUUUGGCAGGGAGGGAAGGGUAAUAGAGGAAGAAAGCGAAAAAAAAAAAGCUGCGAAGGGUUCUAUAGCAAAUGCACUCCAUUCAAACUGGACUAACUCAGAAAUUAUGUACGGGAUUGGGAGGAAGCAUCCUUUUUCCCAUGUAUGCCUAAAACUCACCAAAGAUCUUAAUACAUUUGGCUCAAGUUAAAAAAAAAAUAGCAUACCAAUUAAAAGGCAUUUUUUCCAGA